rnacentral:rRNA from 1 species
CCUACGGGAGGCAGCAGUGAGGAAUAUUGGUCAAUGGCCGAGAGGCUGAACCAGCCAAGCCGCGUGAGGGAAGAAGGCUCUACGGGUUGUAAACCUCUUUUGUCGGGGAGCAAAGCGAGUCACGUGUGACUCAUUGAGAGUACCCGAAGAAAAAGCAUCGGCUAACUCAGGGCCAGCAGCCGCGGUAAUACGGAGGAUGAGAGCGUUAUCGGGAUUUAUUGGGGUUAAGGGGUGAGCAGGCGGUCUGUUAAGUCAGCGGUCAAAGCCCGGGGCUCAACCCCGGCCCGCCGUUGAAACUGACAGUCUCGAGUUGGAGAGAGGUAUGCGGAAUUCGUGGUGUAGCGGUGAAAUGCGUAGAUAUCGCGCAGAACUCCGAUUGCGAAGGCAGCAUGCCGGCUCCACACUGACGCUGAGGCACGAAAGCGUGGGUAUCGAACAGGAUUAGAUACCCGGGUAGUC